AUUGAACGCUGGCGGCAGGCCUAACACAUGCAAGUCGAACGAGUGGCGGACGGGUGAGUAAUGUCUGGGAAACUGCCUGAUGGAGGGGGAUAACUACUGGAAACGGUAGCUAAUACCGCAUACCAUCAGAUUUGCCCAGAUGGGAUUAGCGUGUUGGUUGGGUAACGGCGCACCAAGGCGACGAUCCCUAGCUGGUCUGAGAGGAUGACCAGCCACACGUGAACUGCGACAAGGUCCAGACUCCUACGGGAGGCAGCAGUGGGGAAUAUUGCACAAUGGGCGCAAGCCUGAUGCAGCCAGGCCGCGUGCAUGAAGAGGGCUUUCGGAUUGUAAAGUACUUUCAGCGGGGAGGCGUUACCCGCAGAAGAAGCCCCGGCUAACUCCGUGCCAGCAGCCGCGGUAAUUC
rnacentral:rRNA from 1 species